rnacentral:misc_RNA from 1 species
AACGCAUAUUGCGCUCUCUGGUAUUCCGGAGAGCAUGCUUGUUUGAGUAUCAGUAAACACCUCAAACUCCAAUGAGUUUUUCUUUAAGAGUCAUUGGAAUUUGGAUUUGAGCGAUCCCAACACAUUUAUUGUGGAGGGUUGCUUGAAAUGCAGGUGCAGCUGGACUUUUAUCUGAGCUAUAGGCAUAUUUAUUUAGUCCUGUCAAAGGAUUAUUACUUUUGCUUCAGCUAUCUUAAGGAUGAAAUGUUCCAACAUGCUGACUGAUGCAGGAAUUCUACAGUGAAGUUCAAUUUUUGAGCAGAUCUGUAUUUCUCGAUCUCAAAUCAAGUAAGACUACCCGCUGAACUUAA